rnacentral:rRNA from 1 species
GACAGAGGUGCCAAGCGUUAGGCGGAACCACUGGGCUUAAAGCGUGUGUAGGCGGGCGAUCAAGUACCUUGUGAAAUCCCACGGCUCAACCGUGGAACUGCUGGGUAUACUGGUUGUCUUGAGCCAGCUAGGGGCGAGCGGAACAGACGGUGGAGCGGUGAAAUGCGUAGAUAUGACAUAGAACACCUAUUGCGAAGGCAGCUUACUACGCAUAUAUUGACGCUGAGGCACGAAAGCGUGGGGAUCAAACAGG